rnacentral:tRNA from 1 species
GGGGUUGUGACUCAGUGGUACAGUGCUCACCUAGCAUGUGCGAGAGGCCCUGGGUUCGAUCCUCAGCACCACA